AUACUUGAGCAAGAAAUAGGGAUCAUUCUAAUACAAACUAUUUCAGGAUAACCAAAUAGAAGAUGAGGAAAAAUUCUUCCUGUAUAAAUAUUCUAAGUGAAGAUGCAGAAGUAGUGACAAGAUACUAACGUUUUACUUCCUCUUAUAGCAGCAGACCUGCAGAAUGAUUGUCAGUGAUAGCUGAAGCCAGCAGAUGACAGGCUGUGGAAGAAUUGGUAUUAGGAGACACUAACAUACAUGGAUCCACUCAUCAAAGGCCAUGUCAUAGGGAGUUCCUGCUGUGGCGCAGUGGAAACGAGAAUGCGGCUUCAGUCCCCGACCUCGCUCAGUGGUUAGGGAUCCCACAUUCCUGUGAGCUCUGGUGUAGGUUGCAGAUGCAGCCUGGAUCCCACAUUGCUGUGGCCGUGGCAUAGGCUGGCUGCUGUAGCUUUCAUUCCAGGCCUAUCCUGGGAACGUCCAUAUGCCUCAGGUGAGGUUCUAAAUGAAGAAAACAAAAACCAAAAAAACUUCAUGUCAUGUAAAGGGCUACAGCCUCUAAUAAUGGCAGGUUCUAAAUGAAGAAAACAAAAACCAAAAAAACUUCAUGUCGUGUAAAGGGCUACAGCCUCUAAUAAUGGCACCCAGUUGUAAGAAAUGACAACGGGGCCUCACAACCUCUGGGGUUUCCUAGACAAAAAACUGUACCUGGACUAUAUUGUUCUUUAAAGCUGAUGAUGCUCUGCUUCCCAAUUUGGGGGCACAGGUGAGGAAACAUUAAAAAGGGCGCAGUUAGGCAUUCCUUCGUGGCACAGUGGGUUAGGAAUCUGGUGUCACUGCAGUAGCUUGGGUUGCUGCUGUGGCUGGGGUUCAAUUCCUGGCUCAGGAACUUCAAAAUGCCUUGGGGCAUCAAAAAAUAAUUAAAGAGCACAGUUAGCUGGUAGAAUGAUGGAAACAGUCCUAAACAAAUGAUCUAUUUUCUGCUUUACACAAACAAGCAACGUCAAAAGUUUGGAAGAGAUUUUUUUUUUUUUCUUUUAGUCUUUUCUAGGGCUGCACCCGAGCCUGGGAACCUCCAUAUGCCAUGGGUGCGGCCCUUAAAAUUGGAAAAAAAAAAGUUAUAAAUCUUUAAAAAUAUAUAUUUCUUAGAGUUCCUGUUGUGGCUCAGUGGUAUCAAGCCUGACCAAGAUCCAUGAGGAUAUGGGUUUGAUCCCUGGACUUGCUGAGUGGGUUAAGGAUCCAUCGUUGCCAUGAGCUGUGGUGUAGAUCAUAGACAUGGCUUGGAUCUUGUGUGGCUGUGGCUGUGGUAGAGGCCAGGAGCUGUAGCGCCAGUUUGACCCCUACCUGGUAACUUACAUAUGCCCCAGGUACAGCCCUAAAAAAAAAGUAUACACACACACACACACACAUAUAUAUAUUUCUCUCCAGAACAUUGGAAAAGCAUGGCUCCUGUCCAUGUAUUUAAUGUUAUUAUUUUUGUAGGUAUGUAACACAUAUGCCUUUUCAUUAGUAAGUUCCAUUUAGAGCAAAGCAUUUCACCCUCCAUGUCUCGUAUUCUGCGUCUGAAGGUUCAAAAGACUAGGUCAAAAUAUUCAUGGAAUUCCCACGGUGGCACAGCAGUUUAAGAUCUGAUGUCUCUGUGGCAGCAAGGGUUUGAUCCCCAGCUCAGUGCAUUGGGCUGAGGAUUCAGAAUUGUAGCUGUGGUGUGUUGCAGCUGGGGCUAGGAUUCCAUCCCUAACCCAAGAACUUCCUUAUUCCACAGGUAUGGCCAAAAUUAAAAAAAAAAAAAAAAA
rnacentral:lncRNA from 1 species